UACGGAGGAUGCAAGCGUUAUCCGGAUUUAUUGGGUUUAAAGGGUGCGCAGGUUGUUUGAUAAGUCAGUGGUGAAAGUCUGUCGCUUAACGGUAGGAUUGCCAUUGGUACUGUUGGACUUGAAUAUGGAUGAGGUAGGCGGAAUGUGUAGUGUAGCGGUGAAAUGCAUAGAUAUUACACAGAACACCGAUUGCGAAGGCAGCUUACUAAUCCAUCAUUGACGCUGAGGCACGAAAGCGUGGGGAUCAAACAGGA
rnacentral:rRNA from 1 species